rnacentral:rRNA from 1 species
GUGGGGAAUAUUGGACAAUGGGCGCAAGCCUGAUCCAGCCAUGCCGCGUGAGUGAUGAAGGCCUUAGGGUUGUAAAGCUCUUUCAGUGGGGACGAUAAUGACGGUACCCACAGAAGAAGCCCCGGCUAACUUCGUGCCAGCAGCCGCGGUAAUACGAAGGGGGCUAGCGUUGUUCGGAUUUACUGGGCGUAAAGCGCACGUAGGCGGAUCGUUAAGUCGGGGGUGAAAUCCUGGAGCUCAACUCGAGAACUGCCUUUGGUACUGGCGAUCUUGAGUCCGGAAGAGGUGAGUGGAACUCCUAGUGUAGAGGUGGAAUUCGUAGAUAUUAGUAAGAACACCAGUGGCGAAGGCGGCUCACUGGUCCGGUACUGACGCUGAGGUGCGAAAGCGUGGGGAGCAAACAGGAUUAGAAACCCUAGUAGUCC